GAUGAACGCUGGCGGCGUGCCUAAUACAUGCAAGUCGAGCGAACAGACGAGGAGCUUGCUCCUCUGACGUUAGCGGCGGACGGGUGAGUAACACGUGGAUAACCUACCUAUAAGACUGGGAUAACUUCGGGAAACCGGAGCUAAUACCGGAUAAUAUAUUGAACCGCAUGGUUCAAUAGUGAAAGACGGUUUUGCUGUCACUUAUAGAUGGAUCCGCGCCGCAUUAGCGAGUUGGUAAGGUAACGGCUUACCAAGGCAACGAUGCGUAGCCGACCUGAGAGGGUGAUCGGCCACACUGGAACUGAGCCACGGUCCAGACUCCUACGGGAGGCAGCAGUAGGGAAUCUUCCGCAAUGGGCGAAAGCCUGACGGAGCAACGCCGCGUGAGUGAUGAAGGUCUUCGGAUCGUAAAACUCUGUUAUUAGGGAAGAACAAAUGUGUAAGUAACUAUGCACGUCUUGACGGUACCUAAUCAGAAAGCCACGGCUAACUACGUG
rnacentral:rRNA from 1 species